AUCAGAAAGCCACGGCUAACUACGUGCCAGCAGCCGCGGUAAUACGUAGGUGGCAAGCGUUAUCCGGAAUUAUUGGGCGUAAAGCGCGCGUAGGCGGUUUUUUAAGUCUGAUGUGAAAGCCCACGGCUCAACCGUGGAGGGUCAUUGGAAACUGGAAAACUUGAGUGCAGAAGAGGAAAGUGGAAUUCCAUGUGUAGCGGUGAAAUGCGCAGAGAUAUGGAGGAACACCAGUGGCGAAGGCGACUUUCUGGUCUGUAACUGACGCUGAUGUGCGAAAGCGUGGGGAUCAAACAGGAUUAGAUACCCUGGUAGUCCACGCCGUAAACGAUGAGUGCUA
rnacentral:rRNA from 1 species